CUGGACUGACACUGACGUUGAGGCUCGAAAGUGUGGGUAGCAAACCCGAUUAGAUACCCUGGUAGUCCACACCGUAAACGAUGAACACUAGGUGUUGGGAAGUUUCCGCCUCUUAAUGCCGAAUCUAACGCAUUAAGUGUUCCGCCUGGGGAGUACGACCGCAAGGUUGAAACUCAAAAGAAUUGAGGGGGACCCGCACAAGCGGGGGAACGUGUGGUUUAAUUCGAAGCAACGCAAAAAACCUUACCAGGUCUUGACAUCCUUUGAAACUUUUAGAGAUAGAAGUGUUCUCUUCGAAAACAAAGUGACAGGUGGUGCAUGGUCGUCGUCAGCUCGUGUCGUGAGAUGUUGGGUUAAGUCCCGCAACGAGCGCAACCCUUAUUGUUAGUUGCCACCAUUGGGAUGGGCACUCUAACUGCCCUGCCGGUGACAAACCGGAGUGAAGGAUGGGACGACGUCAGAUCAUCAUGCCCCUUAUGACCUGGGCUACACACGUGCUACAAUGGCGUAUACAACCAGUUGCCAACCCGUGGAGGGUGAGCUAAUCUCUUAAAGUACGUCUCAGUUCGGAUUGUAGUCUGCAACUCGACUACAAUGAAGUCGGAAUCGCUAGUAAUCGCGCAUCACCACGCCGCGGCGAAUACGUUCCUGGGUCUUGUACACACCGCCCCGUCACACCAUGGGAGUUUGCAAUGCUCACUCCCCGUGGCCCUAACCUUGUAGGAUGGAGCCGUCUGGGGCAGGACAGGAUGACUGGGGUGAAAGUGGUAACAAGGGUAACGGAUUCGAAGUUGG
rnacentral:rRNA from 1 species